rnacentral:rRNA from 1 species
ACGAACGCUGGCGGCGUGCUUAACACAUGCAAGUCGAACGGAAAGGCCCCUUCGGGGGUACUCGCGUGGCGAACGGGUGAGUAACACGUGAGUAACCUGCCCUUGACUUCGGGAUAACUUCAGGAAACUGGGGCUAAUACCGGAUAGGAAUCCUUGCUGCAUGGUGGGGGGUGGAAAGCUUCGGCGGUUUUGGAUGGACUCGCGGCUUAUCAGCUUGUUGGUGGGGUAGUGGCGUACCAAGGCUUUGACGGGUAGCCGGCCUGAGAGGGCGACCGGCCACAUUGGGACUGAGAUACGGCCCAGACUCCUACGGGAGGCAGCAGUGGGGAAUAUUGCACAAUGGGCGGAAGCCUGAUGCAGCAACGCCGCGUGCGGGAUGACGGCCUUCGGGUUGUAAACCGCUUUCAGCAGGGGCGAAGCUUGUGGUGACGGUACCUGCAGAAGAAGCACCGGCUAACUACGUG